rnacentral:lncRNA from 1 species
GCUAGUUCUUAUUCUAUGUAUCUUUCUGUUAUCUUCUUUAAUCUUUACAACAAAUCAUUUUAGAGAUGAAAAGGAAAAAUCUUCAAGAACCUAAUUAAUUUGACCCUGUGCAUACAUCUAAAAAGUGACCAAGCUAAGAUUCGAACCUACUUCUUUCUGACAUAAUGUCCUUCUUUCCUCUUUUAAAACUAUUUCUCAUCCUACUUCUAACAUUGUAGAAGAUUUUCAGUUGCCUUCUAAUAGUCUGUGUAGCUUUCAUAAGGGAUAUGGAAAUUGGUAUAGAAUGUGAUUCCAUGGUGCUAUUUUAUCACCUGAAAACAUGCCCAAUCCAAGCCACUUGUCAAUUUUUCUCCCAGUGCAGACUAAAGCCUAUCAUACAACAUUCAUUUCUUAACAAAUAGCAUUAUUUUUUGUAUUAUUUUGUGAGACAUACCUGUCAUUAGGUAUAGGUGUUUAGUUCACCUCUCAAAAUCUCAAAAUCACCUCAGUUUUCCUAGACAAAAAAUAGUAAUAAUAACAUAAACAUUAUUUGUUACUAUGUAAGUAUAAAAUAGUGAAACUGAUUUUUGGUUGAUAUUAGGUACAGUAGUCUGAUGAAUCUAUAUAGUACAUAUCUAGCUUUACUAUUUAUAAGUUUCAUAAUCUAUUAAAUGCAGAUGAUAAUAGCACCUACCUCAUAAUGUCAUGUGAGGAUUAACUGAGAUAAUACAUGUAAAGUAUUUAGAUUAGUCACCACCAUAUAGUAAAUAUUCAAUAAAUGUUAACUGUUAUUAUACAUGAGCAUUUAGGAAUAAAAAAUCAAAUAAUUACUGGUGAGUGCUCUGUACACAGAAGCUGGAUAAAUAUAUAUUAACUUUAUUAAUUAAGUAUAUAAUUUUUUAAUGGCUAGUGUUACUGAUCUAUAUUAAGGGCAGUAUUCUGCCUGCUGCCUCAUACUUUGAAUAUAAUAUACAACAAAAUGUUCAAUAUCAUUAAGAACUGUACAUAGUUCCAAGAGUAUUUACUGGCUCUGAAAGAGCAUUUUUUAAAAAAUUAGGACUAUCAUUUCUUUUUCUGACAUAUCAUUUGCACUCUUAGUGCUACAUAGUAUAUGCUUUCUAGCUAGAGGUAGGUGUGUGACCACUAAAUAUUGUAGAUAUAGAUUCCCCUUUUCUUUUAAUAAUUAUGCAUGUGUGACUUAUCUUAUGAUACAAUGAAAACAGAAGCUAUACAAGUAUGCACAUGAUAGAAACAAGAUAAAUAGGCUGGGAAACAAAAAAAAGGCUACUAUUGUCACACAUGCUUCCUAUUUGCCUGAGACAACAGAAAUAUACUGAAAGAGAGAAAGACAAUAUAUGUCACAAUUUGUGCCAGUGCUGAAAAUGCUACAUACUUUUCUGAUGAUGUCAAAACAUAGUUUUGGGAGGCCUUUUUUCAAAAUAAAUUUGUUUUUAAAUCCUGAAAUAUUUACUCUCUGAAACAUUUCUCUGAGAUUAUCAUGAAUUAAAUCUCCUGAUUCCUAGAACUAGUAAUCUGAUUCUGGUAAUAGUUUUAGGAAAGGUUCAAAGGUUUGCCUUCCCCUAGUAUGCUCUUCCUAUCACUGUUAUUUCCCCUCCUUCUACCUUUAGAUAUAAUUCAUCCCUCAGGUUGAGGAGCCCCAUUUCAUGCAUUUGUGCUAGUGUUGUUGCUCUUGGUGUGCUGUAUUAUGGUUUUCUGUCUAGAGGUGAAUUUUCUCUUUUAGAAUCUAGUGACUAAAUUAUGCCUAAAGACAGAGGCUCUGGCUUAUUCAUCUCCCAAUACCUAAUAUGAUUCAGUUCCUAAAACAGAGUAGCUAUUUGAUAAAAACAUAGCCAAUCAGUUAGUAAACUUGCCCCCACAUACAAAUGCACGUGUACACACACAAACACAUACACACACACACACUACAUAAAAUUUCUUAUGCAUAUUCCUCAAGUGCUUGUGAACCUUUUGAAAUUGCCUAUGAACAUAUUAAUAUGCUUCUGAGUGCACUCUUCUCUUUGAGGAACAUUUUCUAAUCUUUGAAAAAAUUUUUUAUCUGUUUAUGUUCUUUCUUUUUACCCGGAGCAUCACUUUUACACAGUGGACUUGAGUUGCUAAAGUACUGAUUAUUUGGUUGACCCAUAGGGAAAGUGUUAUGUAUCCUUGUUUUUAUUUAUACACUACUUGCUUGGUGGUUUUGUGCAAGCACUUUGUAUGUUAAAAAAAACCCAUGAAUUAUGUCUAUUAAAUGGGAAAGUCUUAUUUUUGAACAAUUUUUUUGUGUUUAAUACAGAGUAUCAUAUUGUUAGUAUAGAUAAAUUUUUGCAAAAUGCCUGACUAAAUCAGCCAUCAUCACUGUUUUGAGCAUAAGGUUUGAGAUUUUAGAAAAAAGCUAAAUGAAAUGUCCAGUAUCAUACAUCAAGAUCAGAGAAAAUCGGACGCUCACAACCCGUAGCUCUGUGUUUCCAGACUGUUACACAAGCUCACUGAGAAGUGCCUUAUAUGCCUGAUUUCUCAACUUCACCUUCAGUAAACUUUUGCAAUCCCAAGGCUAGAGACCUCUUUUGUGAAGGUUGUCUGCCCAGUGAGAGUGUUGGCACGGAGAGGCCCUAGCAGAUAAAGUGGAGGAACAUAUGGAUUCUAUUUGAAUACAAAUCGCUGGACAUAACGUGGUGGUAAUUCAGCUGCAGUGUCCUCUAUAUUGUAAACGGAAAGAGUAUGAUUAGAGGUGUUUAUAAACGGCGUCUGAAUUCCCCCACACCCGCCCCACCCCCUUUCCACUGUAUUUUUAUCAGCCUGAAUCAUAGCCGUCCAGCGUCCCAGUCUCACUGUGUUGUUUGUGAAAAUGGCCAGCAUGAGGAAUUAUUAAUUAAAGCUAACAAAUCACCCUGACGAGCUGGGCUGUAGCAUGGCUGAAGGUUGAUUGGCGAAAGUGUUCUCCUUUGGAGAAAAGACUUUUUGUGCUCGUGACGCAGUCAGGGACGGAUUAUUGAAUAUUCAAGUUAGAAGAAAAAUCACAGGACAAGCAAAUUGAGUAUUUACUGGCAAAUAAUUGCUCUCUUAAGCUGUGGCUCUCUUCCUAAAUUCUUAACAUUCCCGUGGGUUAGAAAGAAACUCAGAAAAAUGCAUCGGUGCAGAGUACAUUUCAAAAAAAAUACAUAGACUGAUGUUUCAGAUUUGUGCAGGUAAGUGUGAUUGUGUGUGCAUGGAAAGUGAAAGAAGAAGAGAAAGCAAAGGAAAGAUGGGGGAAGCAUGACUGUUAGUCUGAAGAGUUUUUUAAAUCAACUUGUUUAUUGGAAUACUGCUCAGCAUACUUCUAAGUUAAGAAUUUAGUUCAGUGCUGCAUUUAUUGUGAAAGUUAGAGACUUUAGGAGAGAGGGUUUUCUCAAAGUUGUUUGUCUUUAUCAGCAGACGAAUGUGUUACUGUUUUGUCCCAAUAAUAUCUUUCAAUUUUGCCUAGAUAUUUGUAGAUACAUGUAUAAAAUGAUCACUUGAUAUAAAGAUCUGUAUUUUCAACAUUGUUAAUUAUGAUGUGUCUUAACAGUGUCCCAAACACAUUUGGGCACAAGUAUUGGAUUUAUUUUUAAAAGUAGACACUGUUUUACAUUAAUUUCCAGUCAGUCCUUCCUGAGAAUUUCUAAAGGGACACUAGUUUUGGAAGUUAUUUAAACUCUGGGCUUCUAUAAUAAUUGAAGUGUCAGUUAUGUGGUCUUUUUUUAAUCUGGAAUGUUGAUCAGACUACUGAGUUUUGUGGACACUGUAAAAUAAGGAAGACUAGUUAAGAGGCUUUUUCAAAAAGAGUUUUAAAUACGUAGAAAUAAGCAAGUAUAGAAAUAAAGUCAUGUAUAAAGUGUAGACAUUAAGAAACAGUUAGAUUAUGUCAAUAGCAUUACCAGAAUACAUAUAUCCACUUAGGAUGAGUUCCAUAGUCUGUUAAAAAACUAGAAAAUGAGCUUUCAUCAACAACAGACUGUUUUAAAAUGAGAAUAAUUGACUGCGAAAUAGCAUUUUAGGGUUGUAUUAACUAUGAAUAGUGUGGGUUUAAAACAAAGGCAUAAACAUAAUUUAGAUGGAAUUAACUAAUAAUUGUAAACUACUUUAAAAAUAAAAUACAUGAUAGGAAUAAUAGAAAUAAUAAUAAAAAUAGAAAGAUCUGGCAGUCACAAAGAAAUUAAAUGAGAGGACUCAUUAAGGUUUUAGAGAGUCAGAAUUUUAAAAGGUAAAUAAAUAAAAUAUUUUGCCUUCUGAUCUGUUCCUUGAACUACACAAUAUUGUAUGGCUUAGGGUUUUUCCUUAGCAUAUCUGUUUUACUAAAAAGAAUAUAUUUUGCUCAAUAUGCAGAAUAGACUUUAAAAGAAAGUUUAGGUACUAUAUUUUGUAAAGAUUUUAUUCCCUCUGGACUGCAUUCUGUCUUCAGAUUUCAAGAAGCAGUCUCCUUAAAGUUUUUUGUAACUAUUUGAGGGCAAAAUUUGGUCCAUUAUUUUGAAAUAGCAAAGGGGGCAUUUAAAGCAUAUGUUCAAAGACUAAACCAUCUGCCUGCUUUAUUAUGAAUACCACACAUUUAUGAGAACUUGGAAAGGCUCAAAAAUUGAACCAGAGUCCUAUGAAAGAUUGUAAGAAUACAACAUUCUGAAUAUUAAAAAUGUUUUGCAACCACAUACUUUUGCUAAGUAUUUUAUUAGUCUUCUGUGGAGUAAUAGUAUCAUUGCACUUCUUGAUAUGUGGAUAAGUAGGAAACUGUAAUGAGAGAGAUGAACUUUUGGUAAGUUAAUGUGAAUCCUUUCUUUCUGAUUUAACCCACUAAAUCUAAAUACCUUUUGGAGUUGUGGACUUUUCAUUAGGAAAAUAGUUACUUAGAAAAGCAUUAUAAAAUGGUGACUAUUGGAACAAAAAUGAAGUCCAGCUGCUAGCUUCUGGACUAUCUACAAAUGAGUUGCAAAAGCCAUGCAGAGGCCAGACUAAAGAGCACUUCUGUAGUCCAACUGUGAUGUAAUGGAAGUAUGAAUCAGCUAUUGGUUGCCCAUACUAGGGGGGAGGCAAGAGAAAACAAAAAACAAGUGCAAAUUGGCAUCAUUCCCAGGUAACACUACUAUAUUCCUUGGCUAUCUAGAAGGAUAUGAAAUUCAUAAAUUAAUAAAAGAACAAAAUUAUAUUUAGAUUCCAAACAUAGUAAUUAAUAAAAGAACAAAAUCAUAUUUAGGCUGUAAACAUAGUAAUAUUUCAGCCCAGAGUGAUCAUAUAAGGCAAAAUGAGUAUCAUUUGUAAGAUGUCUAGUCCCAAAUGGAAUUCUUUUACCUUGUCUUGAGUUUUACUACCAUCAGACUGAGACUGACUGAUUCAUUAUCAGAGGAAAAUGCAGAAAAUAGACAAAGCUCAAUUAGAAUAUUAAUUUUCAGUGUUGAAAUGAUUUAUCAAUCUUUGUUGCUUAAUAAAAAUUAGUAGUAUUGGAAGCCAAGGACUGAAUGUUUGGCUUGAAGAUUCUGUGUAAAAAAUGAAUGUGUAUAUAUCAGUUAUAUAUACAUUAUUUUUAAAAGAAAACAGUGUUUUCAGAAUUGUAUACUUUGGUAAGCUGAUAAGACCAAGAACAUUUCUUUGUAUAGUCUAACAACUAAACACAAAGAUUUUUAUAUAGUGAUAGUUGGUUUUCAGGACUAGAGGAUGUCAGAAUUAAUGAUCUGUGCUGAAAAUGCCUAUCUUGAAUUUCCAGUGGAUCUCCUCAUGGUUGAAUUUUAACAUUAUACCUCACUAAAUUGCAAUACAACAUAUAUCAUGUGAAUCUAUAAUCUAUUAGCUCAAAGACUACCUUUUAGGAGGUAAGUUUUAUUUUUUAAUUUUGAAUAUGUAUGAUAUAUACGCCAAAUGUACAUGUGUCCAUACAUUUUUGUUUUGCUGUUUCUGACACCCUGCUCUAACAACAGAUUUAAAAUGACUGACAAAAAUAAAUACAUAGUAAAGCAAAAUUCAUAAAUUAGAAGUGAGCGAUAAAGAUUAACAAAAUAACAAGGAUAAGGAUAUAAAAAUGGAACCAGUUGUGAAGUCAACCUAUUAACUAUAUUCAGUGAAGUGCUAUACAGUUGCCUUUAAACUUUCUUGCAGCCAAGUCAAAGAGAAAAGCAUGACAAGUUAUGUAAUUCACAACACCCUUAAGAAUAAUAAAAUAAUUUUCCAUCAUCCAUCACUAAAGCUCGAAAAAUGACAGACUCUGAGUUUCAGAGAAAUCAGUGCUAAGAUGCUAAGACAACUUUCAAUGACAAUAAUUAUAGGCUGCAGAAACCUGAAGGUCAGGUUAGAUGCAGAAACAGUACCCUCCUCGAGACAUGGAUAUGGAUGUAGACUAGAAUAAUCCCUUUUCAAUCCCAGGGCAUGAAUAUGUGGGAUUGUGCGGGAUGGGGGAUAAUAUUAGUGAUACAGUGUUUUUGAGGCCAAGAUCUCAUGCAAAAUAAGGAGUUAGGAGGGGAAUUUCAAAACUAUUUUAUAUAAAUAAAUGUAUCUUGUAACAGCAAAUCAAAGAUUUAGAAGGCUUCUACUUUUAUAAUAAUUACUGAAACACAUUUUAUCAAAUAAACCUUUUGAAUCAACAUUACUUUUCUAAAUUAUACAUAAAGCAGUUCUGUGUUGCUGCCAUUCUUCCACUUAUACUUUAAGAUGAUUAUCAGUCUUUGCAGUUUUUAAAAAGAGCCCUUUCUGGCUUCAAAUUUAAAUAUUUCUCACUCUUGCAUCCUCCCUUGGUUCAUUUUCAAAAGUCUUAGCAAACUGCUUAAUCUUUUCACAGGUAAUUUUGAUGAUUAAGUCCCAUUUAAUAGUCAAGUGUCUCCAUAUUGAAAUGGUGUGAAGCAUAAAGGUUUUUUCCCCCCUACUUUUCCUUGUAGCCUAACCCCUAGUAAGUAUUACAAGGAGCCCUGAUCAGGAUUACUACGGUGAUUCUUAAAAUGAACAUUUUUUUUACCUCUUUGCAGAAUUUCUGAAUCAAAUACUCUGAGGAUGGGGCCUAGGUCUCUGCACUUUAGGAAACUAUUUGGAUUAGUCAUGUUUAUUAAAGUUUUAAAAUCGGUAUUUUAAAAUUCUGACUUUGAAAUUUAUAGUAUGGGAAGAUAAAAUGGUAGGAUUUCCCUAUAAUUGUUGGUGAGCAUUCAUUAAAUUAACACAAACUAAAACACUAAUGCAUAUACAAUAAUAUGUUAUGAUUGCCUGCUAUUAAAACCAGAACAAUCUAAAGACUGAGUUAAUUUGAACUCAUUAGGGCACAUUUCACCAUUUUAUGAAACAUUUAAAAAUAUUUUUAGCCAUCAUUUAUUGAGAACUAUUAUAUGCUAAGUCAUAUUGUUGGUCUGGAUACUACAGAUACAAAGAUGAUUAAAAGAGAGUGAGUACUUUUCUGGAAAAACUCAUAACUAUGAUAAUUGUAUCAUCACUAAGAUAUUAUCUCCUCCAAAUUAGGAUAACUAUGAAUUUCCAUAUAAUCUCCUCUUUGAAUAAAAGUCAAGGUUCCAUGUUAUAUCAUGUCACUAUAAGUAUACAGUGGACCCUUGACUUACCCUUGAUCCAUUCCUAAUGUCUGGUUGUAACUAAAUCAAUACAGCUGAGAUCCAGAUGUUUACCUGACUACAUGCUAUAGAUAACAGAGGCAGAUGAAUCUUACAUUAACCUUAUUGAGCCAAGUUGUUCCUAUGUCAGGCUAGGCGUUACUUGAGGUUCCAUGUACACUCAUUAGCGAUUUCACGUAGUAGGACCCUACUGCAAUUUGGAAGGUGUGGAAUCUGCCAUUUUCCUACUGUGAGACUCUGUCUCCCAUAGCUGAGAUGGGAAGUGUCAUGUAGACCUGAAACAUUUCUUUCAUUAUCUGUCAGUGAUUUCUUACAAGGUUCCAUUCUGUAAAGAGGAGAGAAACAUGUGUGAGUGCACUAGACAUUAAGAAGACUCCCAUAUCUCCUUCCCUUGUCCUGCUGGUGGCUCAGCUGGCCUAUAAGAAAUGCUGGAGCCUAAAUAGUGGCAGCCUUUCUAGUUGAUAUGUCAGGUACAAUUGAAGGGCUCCAAGCUGCUCUCCCCUUGGAGCUCUUUUCUUCACAAGUUACAGCUGUGCUAGAAGUUGAGCAUAGACAGGCAAGAGGCCACAUGUUGCAGUAAAUGAAUUAAGUGUGUAGCCAGGCCGAGGAAGAGAAUGAGAGUUUUCUAUUUCAUUGAUGGUUUGUGUUUUCUUGGGAAAGUUUUGGGGAUACCCUCUCCCUUUAUCAUUUCCAUAACAGUAUGAAAAAUAUUAUGAGAACUUCAAUAUUUUUUCCUUUCUUUUCCUAACUGUCAACAUAUAUUUGUUGAGAAUUUAGUACUAUGCCCUGUUCUAGGAACAGGGACAUACUUCUGAAUAGUUAGUCAUAUAUAUAUAUAUAUAUAUAUAUAUAUAUAUAUAUAUAUAUAUAUAACUUAAUAGUUUCUACUUUCAUGAAGUUUAUAUUAUAAUUGGUAAAAAGGGAAUAAAAUUACUGAAAUAUAACAUAGAAAGUAAUAUAAGUAUAAAAUAAUAUACUUCAUUUUGAGGCAUUGCCUACUGGGUUCUGCAUGGCUUCUAAUUAUAUCUGCAUUAUUUCAUUUUGUGUGUAUAAUGUGUGUGUAUGUGUAUAUAUAUAUAUAUAUUUCUUCAGAACAUAGAUCAGUAAAUUUAGGACAUAGGUUUGUGGGAAGCUCCUGCACAUAAUGUAAGGGAAGACAUAAAUUACCUAGGACACAAGGUGUACAUAAUAAACCAUUAAAUUAUUCUUUUACAUCUCUUUACUUGUUCUAGGGAAUAUGUAUUUUGUAUUUUUUUAACUGACUGGUGGUCAUUCUGUAUGCAUAAGAAGUAGAUAAGCUAUGGAAUCAACUCAUGAGGAACUUAACCUACAGUCCAGAAGACUGAUAAUUAACAGCAGUAUAUAGAGGACAGAGUAGGGAGUGCUGUCCUAGAAGAGGUCAGGGAAAAAAACAAGAAAGCUUUCCCGGAGUGAAUUUUAAAUGAGGCUAAUACCCUAAAAAUAAGACUAAACAAAAAGAAUUUUUGAAGUUCUAAUUUUACCCUUGAUCCUUAAUGAGUAAAGCUUUCAUUUUCCACUAGUAAUAUGUGUUUCUGGUAGAAAUAUUUUAGACAAUAGGAAAACAUAUUAACUCACCAUUUAGGGAAACCAUUGUUAACAUUCAUGAGAUACUUUUUUGAACAUGUAUUAUGUUCUAGAGCUUAGCCAGUCAGCCACAAGUUCUCAGAAGGGAGCAUUUUAAUUGACAAGCAGCCUGAAUAGCAAUAGAAAAUUUGACUUGUGUUAGUUGUCUUCAAAUUUGGACUUACAGACCAAAUGGGCACCAACACUAGUGAUGUCAGUAGAACAACACAGUACAAUAUUCUUCUGAAGAAACAUCAAAACACCUGUCAUAACCUCCACCUAGAGCAGAUGUGAGAAUCAGACUCCUCUGGGUCAAAUCCUGGCUGUACUUUUCGAUCUGUAUGAUCCUAGCCAAGUUUUGGGCCCUCUGAAUCUCAGUAAAAUUAGAUUAUUAACCCAGAUGCAAUGUUUUGAAAAAUGAGUAAAAUAAUUCCUAUAAAGUGCUAAUCAUAGUUUGAUAUGUACCAAAGUAUUUUGUUGUUUUUGUUUGUCUGUUUUUUGUUUUUUUUGUUUUGUACCGGGGAUUGAACUCUGGUCCUUGCGCUUGCACAGCAGGCGGCGAAACCACUGAGCUAAAUCCCUGGCCCCUGUAGCAAAGUAUUUAAUAAAUACUGCCAUUACUAUUGUGCUUGCUAUUAUGAUUAUUACUAUUACAGUUAUUUAAUUACCAGGAAAAAUUGUUGAAAAUAUAUUUUUCCAGUACAAUAAUGUUACGUUACUGACAAUAUAAAUGAAAACACAUUUCCUACCGAGGAUGGGUCAGAGAUGCCAUCUUUGUAACACAUAUUAAAAAUCUGGGUUUUAUAGAUGAAAAUUAUAAUAGGAUUUAUCUCAGUAGAUUAAUGAUAUUUUGCAGACUAAAUUUGUUUCUAGGUAGAAAUGACGUCUAAAACUUCCUUAAUGCCUUUGUUGUUAAAGAUUUAUUUCAACAAUAUCUGAUUAACUUGUUUUAUUAAAAAGAAAUUUUAAAUUUGAAACCCCAAUAUUUUUUAGAUAAUGCCACAUUCCUUUAUAGAUAAGUGAUAGAAAAGCAGUAGAAAUAUAAUUUUACUUAAAUGGGACAUCAUUGGGAAGAAAACUCUUACUGUCAGAUCUCAACAUAUAGUGACCAAAGAUCACUAGUUUAGCAGGUACUACAUAGUAGGCACUUAAAAAUGUUUAUUGGAUUGAAUUAUAUUUUGUCAGAAACCUAAGCAUGUUCUGUUGGAAGUGUAAAUGACUUUAAGACAUUGACACAAUUGAAUUACAAUAUAAUUUAAAAAGUAGUUCGCAACAAAUUAUGUUCACUUUUUUAAAGUACAGACUGUCUUCAGUGUGAGAAGCAGAACUAUGUCAUGAAAAGAACAUAAACUGUAAUUGCACAGAGUGGGGUUGGUGUUGUUUAUCAUCUCCACUGUUUUCCAGUUAUAUCAUCGUUUACAAGUUUUUUUCUGUGUCUAAGUCCUCAAGUAGAAAAUGAAGUAAUAAUAUCCUCAUUGAGGUGUGUGUCUGGCCCUGGUAGAGUUCUUGGUAUAUAAUAGAGACUCUGUAAGUGAUACCUGCUAUCAACAGCAGUGACCAUGACAAUACGACAAGCCCUAUGUACAGUGUCCACAAGAUUAUUAAUAUAUAUUAUAUAUGAGUAUAUAAAUAACACUUGAAAGUGUGUUGUUUAGUGUGUGACUCCCAUUCAGAACCUAUAUAAAAAUUUUAUCUAUUUAGUUGCCUGCAUAAAAAGAUGGCUUUAAUUAUUUAGCUAAAUGAAAAUACAAUUCAAAAAUCCAAACUAAGUUAAUAUUUUGAAAACUUACAAUAAAAACAAAAGCCACCCCAGGAUUCGUAACUAAAAUAACCAGGUAAUUUUGGCUUAAUGCAAAUUAAAACCAGGGACAGUGCUCUACAUCAAAUGAUAAAAAAAAGGGGGGAAUUAACCUAGAAAACUCUUAGGUAGCCCUUGCUUUUGGUAGUAUUAAUUGGAAGCAUCUUAAAGAUCAAAAGGCUAUUAUAACUAGUUCCAGUGGUAGCUACAUAUGGAAUAUGGCUGUAGAGAUUCACAAUGUAAAAAUAGUUCAUUGCUAAAUUCGAAAUUCUGUUAAUGUCACAAACAGUAGGAUGUGAAACACAAAUGAAUUGUGAUGACAGUUGAGUACCAAGCUGCCUAUUUUUUACCCCUCAUAGCUGCCCAAAUUUGAUUUUAUUUUCCUCAGUCCUGAAUUAACCCAUCAAUAUUUGUACUUUCUAUAUCACCUUGGAACAUACCACUUUAGAAUUUUCUUCCUAAAUGCUUCUCACUUCCUAGGAAUUUUGCUCUUGCUGCUUUUCUUCUGACAGAUAUGUAUUUUUGAAUCUUUUUUUCUAUCACUCACUUUAGAGUCAGAUUUUUGAAUGCUUUUUUAACCUACAGAUUUCUGUGGCUGUAUAUUGCUCAUUACUUUUCCUCUUUUCUCAAGUGAUUUAAGUGGCAUUCUAUAAUGCUUGAUCUGCAGGCUCUUUGUAUAGGGCAUAUUUCUUCUCCAUAUCACUUUGACUUAGCACACUUGCUAUCAUCCUGAUAAUCUGCAUUAAUUUCCUACUAUCAUUUUUAAAAACCUGUUUUUUUAAAAAAAAUUUCCACUCUUACCCUUUAUACUAGGUCUUUGUGAUCCUGGAUUUAGGGAGCAAGACUUAUGAACCAAAUAAAUCUCCCUUUUAAAUUCAGCGUUCCACAUAACCCUAAGCUAGCUUGACCUUUGGGAAAUGUCAUUUUUAAAAUCUCUAAAGAGUAUUGCUGAAAUGACCAAAUUAUGUAGGCUUAAUGGGUUUUGUAGCAUGGAUAACAGACCUACCUUACAUAGCAACAGUCCUAGCUAAACAUUUUUUAUUUGGAUUUUGCUCCACAUGGUGAUUUGGCUGCCAUUUGCUGAGUGACCUCUCUAUGCCAACCAUUUUACAUUAAUUUUUAAAACAAUUCUUUGAAGUAGUUACAAUUAUCUUCAUUUAAUAAAUGAGAAAAUCUUGAACUGGUGAGGUUAAAUGACUUGUUAAAGGGUGAAACCUAAGAUUAUAAAACUCUAGAGCUCUUUCUGUCUCCAUUAUCACAGGCUAGUGCCUGGUUAUAUAUUCAUAUUAUUUGUAGUAGAAAGUUUGUAGUGUAAUUUGAUUGGGACAUAGUCAAUUUCAGCAGAACAAACAACAUGAUGACGAAAUUUUCUUGUUGUAUCAUUCUAUUGGAAUAUGAACUCAAGAUCUCCAGAAAGGAAACAUGAGUAUAGGCAACUUCCAGUGCUGCUAGCUUGUUUCAGGCAACAACAUAGUAUUAGUAAUUUUUGAAGAAAUUAGAACUUUAAAAAGUGGUUCUUAGACCAAAGAUUGCUGACUUCCCAUCAGAAGCCUCCUGUUAAUUGAUAUAGACUUCUUCUCCAAAACUAAAAUAUGCUGAUUAUUCUCAACAAAUGCAUUCUGUAGUCCUUUUUCCAAGCAAAUUAUAUUAAGAAUUGUAUAUUGUAAUUAUUUAGUACUUUUAUGUAAUGAACACAAUACAUUUUAAUCCAGUCAGAAUCAAUUUAUGUCUCCCUUAUGAGGCAUUAAAGCUAUUUUAUAUGUACUAGCACUGACAGUCUAGAAAAUAUGACAAAAACUAGUCAUUGUCUUUUUUUUUUAAGGUGAUCAAGGCUAGGGAUAUGUCAUUUGGCAAUAGUUGGCCCCCAAAGUAAAGCAGUAGUGAGACAGGCCUUCAGAUUUAGAGUCUCUACUUCCCACAGUUCUUGGCCUCGGUUUCCUUUUGCCUUUGUGCUGGUGGAUCACUGAGUUCAUCAGUGUACCCUCCAAACGCUGUUACCUUGCUUUGGACAUUGACUGGGAAUUUGUAUGGACAAGCUUAGUUUGUAAUUUUGUCACAGCCAUUUACUUCAUUUAUUUCAGAACCUCUCAGAGAAGCUUCUGAAAUGUCUCUGGAAUUUAGGGUGAAAUUUUAAUGAAAGAAAGGAAAAAACCAUAAAGACACCAGAAAGAAAGGCAGUAAAGAAACUAUAAGAAAAAUCUCUGGGAUCAUCUUCAAAUAUUCUCCUGAGGGGGGAAAACUAUAAAGCUUUUAGUGUAAAAUGUAAGGCUUUUGAGUCCUACCGCAGGUGCUUCCCCUGGGCUCCAUCUCUCUGGUCACAGUGGCUAUUCCAAUUUCUUUCUCAAAUUCUGACAGUUACCAAGUUUGAAAUGUUUUCACUGUUUUUCACUACUCUAAAUUUAAAAUGAGGUAGGUGUUUUUCUCUUUUACUUUUUGAAGAUUCAAAAUUUUCUUGUGUAUUUAUUAAAAGUUCCUAUGAAACUCUGCCCCAAAUCCUGUUUAUUAAGCAAAUAAGUAUUGCAACCUUUUAUAAAUCUAAGUACCAUUAGGAUUUUUACCCUGUCUCUGAAUGCUGAAUAUCUGUAACUUUUAUUUGGUUAUUUAAAACACUGAGUUCUGGAAGCAUAACUGAAAAUUAAAAGCUCUAAAAGAUUGGCAUUUUUUAAGUCAAAGUUUGCUGUUCUAGAAUCUAUUUGAAAUUGACUUUCUAGCAUGCUAUUUCUAACUAUCCUUUUCACAGAUGUAAGCAUUACAUAGGAGUUGAGCCAUAUUGAAAUAAUAUCAUAAAAUAUGGAGUAAAAUUGUACACAUAUACCAUAUGUCCUGUCCCAUCUCACUCCCCUGAAUUGCUGAUAUUGGAAAAUAUUUUUCUAAAAGUAGAACAUUAUUUGCUUGAUAAAUUUUAACAAUUGUGUGAAUUGCCAUUUUUGUUUGUGAAAAAUACCAGUCUUCUGAUCUCUUUUUCCUUUUAGUUGUACAUGGCUCAGUCUAACAAAUUUUGAAUAUAGAUUCCAUAUAGUUGUAACUCUAAUCAAACCAUAUUUGAAAGCAACAUUCUAGACUGUGUUUCUCUGCAAGCAUGACUUCACAAAUGAAAUAAAACCAAAACUCUUAUUAUAACAGAGAGUAAAAUGAAGGUAGCAACAGUCAUUUUGAAAACUGAUUUUAACAGUGAUUAACCACUAAUUUUUCAAAGACUGUGGAAGCCAUUUUGAGCUGUAGAAUGGAGAGGGGAUAAGAAAAAUCAAUACAAGGAAAAUGUAUCUGUCAUUAAUAAAGCCUAAAGAUACUGUUAAGACCAAUACCCUCUCCACCUUUCUAUUAUCACAUUCCACUGAAAAGUGUUGGAAAAAAAUCAGCCAGCUUCUACUAGAACUACAUGUCCAGAUGAGCAAGUCUGUAAAUAAUUAAAAGAAUAAACUAGAGUAGAAAAAACAGAGUGGGUAGGUGGUUAACCACUCAAAAUAUUGAAUAUGUCAAAACCAAAAAACUAAAAGAGGGAAAGGAACUUUUCUUCAAAAGAAGAUACUUUCCAUCCUUCACCAGAGACACAGAUUUGUAAAUGUGAUAACAGAAGCCCUUUGGAUAUGGUUGGUGGAAAGAACACUGUCUUCAUAAUGGCUUCACUAGGUAUUCAGUUGCCCAGGGCAAUUUGAUCAGAAUGUCCUUGUUUCUAAAAUUGUGUAAACCAAAUCAAGAUACAGGAAACAGAGUUUAAUAUUAACUUUUAGAACAAGGAACAGGGAGAUGCUUUUAUGCCAUAGUCCUGGUGUUCAUUCCAAUCUCAUUACUGCAGUGGGUUCUGAAAGCAUUUACAACUUUCUGCAGAGAGUGACUUUGGCUGAAUCCUGAAGAUGGAAAUAUAGCUUAAUGACCUGGAAUAUAGAGUCUUCCUUAAUACAGAAUGUUUCACCAUCACUAACUUGAUAUUCCUCACAACAUUUCUGGCUGGCCUGGCCUCCUAUGACCAGAGACUGCUGACUCAUCCUGGCCUGUGCCAAGCUGUGCAGUCGCUUAGUGAUGUGGACAGGAGUCGAAGGACUAGAAUGAGAUCACUGAACUCAUUUCACUUGUUGCUUACGGUACAGUCCAGCAUGAGCUGGAAAUGUAGGAACCUCAGCCUCCCGAGCAGAAAGACACUCUGGAACACUGUGAACUCGACAAACUAAUCAGAGCAGGGAGUUUAACGGCCUGGCCUGGACACUCUCAAGAGACUGUGCUGAUUCUCAGUCAUCACUCCUUGGAUCAGGAACCACAGUCCUGGUGAGUUGUGAGGUUCCAAAAUUUGAUGUGUCAAGGAUUCUGUUCUUGGUGUCUCUGAGGCAGGCAGGAAAUAAAGGGUGUUUUUAAAAACAAAAACAUAAUUUCUUAAAGAAAGCUAGCAAACAGAACGAUGAAGAUUUCUAGUGUGCAAAGCUGAGAGCACUCUGGACAAUGGCAGAGGCUGGAGUCUAUGCUCAAGAGAGGCUGCAGGCAUAGGUUUUAUACUGCCACACAUGGCUGUCAGCCUUGACAUGCCUAGCAAACAUGCUUGUGGAAGAAGAGAGAUAGGUGGGGGGAGGGGGAGGGAAGCAGUAUUCAGGAUGGUAGGAGGGGAAAUGAAAGUGGGAUUAAUUGUAUAUUUGAAGUUUCCCUCUACCAACUUUUCACGUAUCUCUGUUCUCAACAUUUAUGUUGUAUUCAGAGCACCUACAUGCCCAGCUAAACAGAACAAAACAAAACAAAACAAAGCAAGAACAUAUAUAUAGUAUUUUUUACUGAUACUAUUCUAAAGAUCACUUUGGUAAGAACUGGUUGCUUUUAAAUGUUAGGAAACCUCUCUCCACCUGACCCUUAAUAAAAUAUUAUUUGUCAUACCCUUUUCUUUGUUCAUCUACAUUCAUGGUAUUCAGCAAGAGAAUGCAGUGAGAAUCCUUAUUUGGUCCCAGGGAAAUUCAUCAUCCUGACAUAGGAAAACUAGAUGACUGUCCUGAUGGUAUUAAACACAAAUAUAGUAUUGUCCUCAAUAUAAGAGACUCUGAUUGAGUAGGCUCUGGGAGUUGUCAAAGGAAUGGAAUGGGAGGAGUUGUAUCCUAUCUGAUAGGAGUCUAGCAGAGGAGCCACCAGUUAAGCUUUCACAGCCAAUAUGAGAAUUCCGUAUCAUUCCUAAUAACUCUUACUCUCCCUGGAAGUGAAAUGUCAGGUGGAGGGUAUGCUUGUCUUUUACCAUCAGAUCCCUAGUUAGUGCUUUUCUCCAGGUAUUUAAUCUUAUUGUGCAUUCUUGUCUCCUUUCUAAUUUCAAGAAUCUGGCGUGUUCCAAAAUAUUCUGUGGGAAAAAAACCAAAAAAAUAAAAACCAAAAAAAAUGGUGGUCAUAAAAGCAUUUGACUGUGUGGCAGCAUCUGAAGUGAAUUGCUCUUUGGAGAGGGGAAGGAGCCUUUGAUGUCUCCAAUAUGGCUCUCAUAGGCGAAAACUUCCCAGAACCACAACCCAGCCUAAGGGGCACUAACUCGAUGUUCUUAAAUAUUUGAAAAGAGAUGCUAUUUUGUUUUACUUGUCUUUGCUAUUAACACAUUGCCAGUAGAUUCCUUCUAGAGUUAGAAGUGCUUUAGCAUUAGUUGAUUUUACAUUUAACCAGAUGUGUAAUGUAUAUGCCUAUUGUGUGUACUCUUGUCCAAGCUGGUGCAAUGAACCAAUAUGUAACACUGGUACUUCGCUGUGGAAAAAAAAAAUCUUUGUUACUCUGGGCAGUUCAAAUUCUUAAUCGUAGAACUCACGAAUGCUCAUAUAUUCCAAGUGCCUUAUGGAGACUAACCCCUGCUACAGCCUCAUCAGGGUCUGUCAGUAACCUUUAGGACAAAGAGUCUCCCUCUUAGAGCAAUUCCUUAAUUUGUGAGAUUUAUCAAAUUUCUCAGCCAUUGCUGUCAUAGGAAGCAGUUUUAUUAGGUCUACUAUGCCAAAAACUGAAUGUACUCUAUUCUACAAUAGUAAAGCUUAUCCAUUUCAGUUAGCCCAUGUUAGUUAUGACUGCCUCACUAUUGACAUAUAAUGGUUCUUCCAUUAUUUCUCUUAUUUUCUAAAGAAAUAAGUUGGGGGAAAUGGUUUAAAAAUUGUUAAACAUAGUGUAAAAAUGGAACUAACUCUUAGGCCAUGACUGCCAAGAGUUACAUAGGACAUUGUGCCAAACUCCUUUAAGGAUAAGACUACUCAAACUCCCAGCAAAAAUGUCUCUUAGUCCCAGGUAGGGCCUUAUGAUCAGUGUGGACUAUGUUGAAGCAACCUAGUUCUCUUAACACUUUGACAAAUUUUUAUUCUAGAAAGCUACAACUGCCUAGAAGACAUGAGGCAGAGAAUAGGCAAAUACCAGUAUCUGAGAAUACCAGUAUGUUCCAAGAAAUGACAUUUGAAAAACCUAAUCUGCCUGAGAGAUUUUCCUUAUGGUUACUAUGAUCUGAAAUUCUACAUGGUCGUGGAAGAAUUUCAUGGCUAAGUUGAAGUAUAUAAGAAGUCAUAAACAAAACACUGUGUUUCUUUGAGUUUAUAUGGGUAUAUUGAUAUUACCUGAUUUUUUUAAGUACCUAUGUUACACAGUAUACAAGCAAUAAUUCAAUUUUCCAGUGUUCAUCUGGAAAAUUUAAUUUCAUUAAAUUAAUGAGAAUGUAUGUUUUAAGGUAUGUAUGUUCUUGCAUGUGUGUUUUAGAUGUAAGCACUUUGUAUAUUAUAUUCAUUUGAUUAGACAGUUAUAGUUAUAUGCAACUGAAAUUCUAAAUAACAAAAUUGUGAUCACCCCAAUAAGAAAAUGUUCUUCCUCAUUUGUAUAGGAAUGCUUUUUUAUAUUUUUGUAAUACUCUAAGAAAGAGACAUAUUUUUAAAAUUUAAAAAGGAUUUAUUUAUUGUGUCAUAUGAUUGGGUAAAUAUAUCAUCUUAGAAGUGCAUAUAUGAGUAUAUAUAUAUAUGUAUGUGCAGAAUUACAUACUUAUAUUCAAAUAUUUGAAAUAUGACCAAAUAUUAGCCAUAAUUAUUUAUGAUUUCAACAAAAUAUUUUUAAAAUUGACCAGAAGUGAAGUGCACAUUUUAUCACAUUGAGAAGGUGGAAAAUUUACACAAAUAUUUUUGAAGAGUAUCUGCAAAAGAAAGAUUUGAUUAGUUGAUAAGUUUGGUAAUUACCUUCUUUUAAUAAAUAGGUCAGAUUAUAAACUUAAAUUCUAUUAUAUGCAACUUCAAAAUGUUAAUUGCUAUAUCUAUAAAGUAUUAAAGUUAAGGAAGAUGUUGUUAAUAAUUAUCUUAAAAUUGAGAAUAUAUUUAAUGAAUUCACUUUUGUGAGAAUACAUAUACAAAUGACCCAGUUUAUUCUAGUUUCUCAGCCACUUAAUUCUAUAUUAAAUACCUUGACACAGUACUUCAUUUACAUAUCAGCUUCAGCAACUAUAAUUUUCCGGAUAUCUUUGUAAGAUAAACAAGUCAUAUCCUGUGAAGUCACACUUUGUCUCUGAAGCUUUCCAUGAUAACCCAAACUAAAAGUGACCUGACAAUUAUAGUAUUUUAAAAAUUAAAAUAUAUCAUUUAUAUGCUGCCUUGAAUUGAAAUUUGUUUAUGUGUAUAAAACUGCAAGUGGUUAAAGAGCAGAUAUUGUAUUUUAUGUUUAUUUCUGUCUUCAAAUUGCUUCAUUGAAUGGAGGAUCACUGAAUAGGUGAUGAAUGAAUGAAUGAAUCUCUACAUGUCAGGGCAUCAACAGCAAAUACAUAUUUAUCAUAAUGGAAGAAACAUAUCCAGAAAAAGAAACCAAUAGAUUCUUCUUUCAGCCGCUCAAAAACCUCAUAUUAGAUCUUUCAACUAGUUGUUAUAGCCAUCUCCAGCCUUUAGCUGAGGUAGAUUAUCUAAUCCCCAAAAAGCUUAGGUAAUUUCUGAUGAAACAUGGGGGUUUUGAAUUUAUGGCAGUCCAUUCAUUUCCUAGGACUUGUGAGGGUGACCAAAUACCUAGCUUAGUUUGCUCAUGUAAUUUGAACUACCAGACUUACCUAAAAUGUAUUAUAUUAAUGAAAAGGCCUCUCCAGGUUAUAAAUAUUUGCUUACACCAAGUCAGUAGUUCUUCCUUUCCUCAAACUCAACAUCUAAGGAACUCAGGCUGAUGUCAGAUGCAGAAAUACAUAAAGACUGGCUAUAAAUGCCCUGUGAACUAGACAGAGAAGAGGCAGGGCAGACAGCACAAUAUAGAGCAGAGGCAAGAGGACAGGCAGCCAAAUCAUUUGUACUAUCUUAACGAGCACUAAUUAAAUGCCCUGUUUGAGAUAAAUAAUAGCUGAAAAUAGCCAAGCUCAAUUGUUUCUGAUCAAUGAGUAGAGGAAUUGGUAGAAUUGCUUGGUGCAGCUUUUAUCAUUAAGCCGUAGCACACUAAGACAUCUUCAAAGGAGAGGGACAAAGGAAAGUUGAGCCAGUCUGUACUGUACCAUUUGCCAUGUCCUCAAUCCAGCACCAAAAAUAGUACCCUGCUGAUAUAAAUCAAUCACAUCCAGAGAAUAACUUCAUGUAUUACAAACUAACUCUAAUAAACAAUAAUUAAAAGAAACAAAAAUAUUGUGUAAACUAGGCUUUAAUAUCAUCUGUUAUCAGUGAUCAAUUAAGUUGACAAUCCCCCAACUACUCCUGAACCAAACCAAAUUAUAUUUCAGAGCUUCUAAUACAUAUAUAAAAGGGAUAUUUGUUUUUAUUUCUUCAUUUUCCUUGCUUACUCUCUAGUAAACUGAAUUCCUAGAUAUAAGCAGCCAGAGGGAGAAAGAGAAUUAAUUCACAUAAUAAAUAAUUAACCCUUGAACAAUAUAAAGUUAACUCUCCAAAGACAUGCCAAAAACUGAACUGUUUUUGUUGUUGAAUUUGUUCUCCUUUGGGUGUUAACACAUAGAGGACAUUUCCAUUAGCACAAACUUGGCACCAUACAACCUGUUCGUCCUCAAGCUAUAAAUACCACACUCACCUUCCAGUUCUUUCUGGCAGGAUUUGUAGUAUAAUGUCCUCCUGGGUAGUCAUGUACAAAUCACUCCGAGGGCAAAAUUGUAUGAGUGCCUAAUCCACUUUUGAAAAUGAAAGAAAAGGAUCUGUUUUAUGAAAAACACCAAACACAGAAAGACAUAAAUUGUAAUAAAAAGUGUUAGCACCUUGCACCUCCUCCUAAUUGCCUUCCCAGGCAAGAGGAAACAAAAUAGUAUAAUAAAUGUUAGAUCAUAAGCAGAGUGCAAAGAAUGGACUCUGCCUUUCAAUAGUGAAUUGAACAAAAAAGAGCAAACUUUAAGCCAUCUAUGUAUAUUUAGUUAAGGAUCCUAAAUUAAGGGACUUAUCUAUCUCAUUUGUCUAAGGAGGAUGAUAGUAUCCCUUGACUCACUAGUAUUGUUCCAAAGAUCAAAGUAUAAAUAGACUAUUUCUCCAUUACAUUCAUUAAAACUACACUUAACAUUCAUCCAUGAAAAUUUUUUUUUUUUUGGUAACGGAGAUCGAACUUGGGACCUUGCACUUGUGAGGCAGACGCUGGAACCACUGAGCUAAAUUCCCGGCCCACGAAACAUUUUUGAACCCCUAUAGUCAGUUAUUUGUCUAGAAGCUAAAAUUGAGUGAUUUAUUAACAAAUAUUUAUUGAGGAAUUCAAAAUAUGUGCCAGGCUGAAGAUCCUAAAGUUAAUAAAAAAAAAAAAAACAGAAGUCUCUGUUCUCAUAGAACUUAUUUUCUAAAGAAUGAUAAACAAAUACAGUGCAUAUGUAAAAUAUGUAGCAGAUUACUUGAGGAUAAGUACUGUGGAGAACUGUGGAGGAGGACAGAAAGAAAGAGAGGGCUAAGGCUGCACUUUCAAGUAGGGUAGAAUGGAAAAGUUUCAUUAAGAGCACAGUGUUUGAGAAAAGACUUCAUUAAGGGCUAACCAAGUUAAUGGCUAUCUAGGCAAGAAUAUUCAGCAGUGGAACCAUCAGCUGCAAAGGCCUUGAACAAGAAUGUGUCUGGUUGAUCUCAUAGAAGUUGAGCGAAGAAUGGUUAUUUGUCAGAGGCCAGGGAGAAUAGGGGAGAGGAAGGAAUGGGGAAAGUUUGAUCAUUGGAGACUAAAUUGCAUUUAGAUAGGAACAAGAAGUUCUGGUGUGCUGUUGCCAGUGCCCUGACCAUUGAUAACAGUUAUGUAGUGUAUAUUUUAAAAGCUAGAACAAAGGUUUAUUUUAAAAAAAUGUUUUCACCAUAAAGAAAUGAUAAAUGCUUGAGGAGACAUGCUUAAUCUGAUUUAAACAUUGUAUAUAGUAUACAUGUAUUGAAACCUCAUGGUAUCCCAUUAGUAUACACAGUAUAUGUUUUAUAUAUUAGUAAAAAUAAAUUUAAUUUAAAUUUUAAAAUAAAUUUUAAAACUCAGAUAAAUACAUAUAACAAUAAAGUGCUAUACCACACAAAAAGGAUAUAUCUGCCUAGACACCAUGGCACAUGCCUGUAAUUCCACCUACUCUGAAGGAUGAAGCAGGAGGAUCACAAUUUCAAGACCUGCCUGGGCAACUUAAUGAGACCACGUCUCAAUAUAAAUUUAAAGGGACUGGGGAUAUAAUGUAAAAUAUAUAAUUGUUACGUAUUUAUAUUUUUAUGUUUAUAUUUUAUAAAAUAUAAAAUUUUAAAGGGACUGGGGAUAGUGCCAAGUUCAAGACCCUGGAUUCAAUCUCCAGUACUGGAAAAAAAAAAUGUAUCUUGCAAGUUUGAGUGAUUAAGGAAAUCUAGAUGGCACGAUUAGAUUGGGCAAACAGAAGAUCAAAAGAUGUGGUAAUGGAAGCAGUGAGGGACUCCUCAACUAGGUCUGUAUGUGCUCUUUGAAGGUUUUGGCUUUGUCACCAACAACACAGAGAUUAAAUAGGACACAGCCUUAAAUUCCUUUCCAUAGGAGAGAUAGAAAAAAACUCAGAAUAAUGUGGUAUGCUGAAUAACAUACCUGAAGGAUGUUCAGGAACCUGAGAGGCACAAAAUAGUGACUAUUUAGCCGAAUGUAUCUUAGAGUGAAGAGUCAGGGAUAGUUUCACAGAAGAUGUAAUAAAUCCUUGCUGGGCCUAAAGGAUAUUCCCAGGUGGUCAGAGGGAGGAAGAUAAUUCAGUAAGGGGACUAGGAGGGCCAAAGGUACUUUAAUAGGAAACAGUAUUGUGGAAUUGGGGAACAGUAUCACUGAUGUUUAGCAGGGGAGUGGGAAGAAGUGAUGCUGCUGUAUAUGUAGGCAGGGAACAAUCAGGUCGGGCCUUGAUUGCCAGGCAAAGAUGUUUUAGCUUCAUCUUGUAGCAUUUGGGGACCCAUUGAAAGGUUUUAAGUAGAGAAGGUUAAUGAUCACAUUGCGUUACAGAAGAUCACCCUGGCAGCAGAGUGGACGAUAGUUUAUAGGAGUGGGAGAAUAGAGGCAGGGAAAUGAGUUAGGAGACAACUUAAAUUGUUAGGACAGGAAGCAAUGAAGCCCUGAACUAGGACAAUAACUAUGGGAAUAGAUACAAGAGGAAGAGACAUGUUCAAGAGAUAAGAGGCUGAAUAGACACAAUUUAAUAACCUUUGGGCUGGUCAUCAAGAGAAGAAGGAAUUUUCGAUUGCUCCCAGGUUUCUGCCUUAUACAACUAAGCAAGAAAAGUGAUUAGCAGUAGAUCUUAUACAGAGAAUAAAUUUGCUUUUGAAGGUAUUUAAUUUGGGGGGGUUAGGGGGGCCUCUAGACUAAUGUCAGGUAGGUACUGUAGUUGGAUUUAGUCAGAAAUACUGGAGAGAGGUCAGGAGCAAAUACAAAAGGUUGGCAAUAUUCUGAAACAUCAGCGUCAUGGUGGGAGUUAAAAUUAUGGAGUGGACGUUUCUCCAGUGAUAUAUAUGGAAAGAUGACAAAAGAAAGCAGAUCUUGGGCUGGGGAUUUAGCUCAGUGGUUCCACCACCUGCCUCCUAAGUGCAGGGUCCCGAGUUCAAUCCCCAGUACCAAAAAAAAAAAGCAGAUCUUUGGAGUACACCACAUUUAUAGAACGAAGAGAGAAAGAGGAGGCUUCAGAGAAGAUUAUGUGCUAUUUAUUAUGUGCCAGUCACUAUGGUAGGUGAAGGGGGAGCCAAGAUGAUUGGCCCUAGAUCCUGCCCCAGAAAUACCCACAGUUGCAUAAAUAUUAGAGGUUGUUUUUACUAUCACCAUAGGACAAAGCUACCAGAGGAAAUGCCCAAGUGUAAUAAUGAAAGUUGUACCAAAUAUUUAAUUAGCAUCAGGGACAUUUUUAUAAAGGAAGAAUCCUAGAAAGUCCGUUGCUUGCAUUUUUGCUAUACAGUUCAUUUCUGAUUUCUCUAAUGCUUGUAUGUGUAUGUUCCAGUGUUAGCAUGGGUUCAAGCUAUUGGCAAAACAAGCCAGGUGUAAAUUAUGGUAGAAUUGAAAUCGAUAGCGCUUUGAAGCACUGGAGUGCCCAGUUCACAUCAGGGCGUGCGUCUGUGUUCACUGAAACGUGGCUAUCAAGUGCACCCCGAGUCAUUAGAUGUGUUAUCCAGUGAAUAACAGCAUAAUGAUAUUUUAGCAGAGCAGCUUUAUGAUAAAUUCUGCUUUAGUGAAACCCCAUAUACAGAGCAAUUUCUCCUGGCCGUGUACAUUGCAUGGCAAAGAAAGGAUACCCUGCUGCGUAUCAGAAGGCUGUAAUUUCAUUUAGGGGUUCUAUUGACAUCGUAAACUGCAAGAGCAGAGCUCAAGUGGCUAUUUAAGUCAUAGGAACUUCAAGCUAAAAUUACUGCCUGGUCCUAACCGCCACCUCCAAGGGACUCCUGCCUAUACAUGUAUGCUUUAUGUUUCUAUCUUGAUGCCUAUAAAUACUAAGUCACUCCAGGGGCUGAGGUGAUAAGCUGUCCUAAAAUAUGACAGAUAUCUGUCACCUUUGUAGCUGUUACAUGCUUAAGGGCUAAAAGCAGUUAUAUUAUUGAUUGAAGGUCAAAUGAUAAAAGGGGCAAGACACCAGCUGCCCCUACCCCCACAGGUUCACUGUACACAUGUUCCUCUUUUUAUGCUUUAAGAUACUUUCAAAUCAAGGUCUUCCAGCAUACUGAACCUAGGGGAAAAAAAAGAAAUUUUAGGUUUAUCUGUACAGUAGCAUUUACAGCCUGUGUGUUCUUGCCCUAUUCCUUCCCCCUUUGCCUUGACAUAUACUCACUUGUGAAAAUAACAGUACUAGUCUUAUUCCGUAAAAUACAAGUUAUAUAGUAUCCCAUGAAAUUGAUUUCCUAGAUAUAUAACAGGGACAUUGAGAUAUAUUCAAAUAAAAAACAGGAAGCCAUAAUAAUUUAGCUCAAUGUUUAUGCUCUAAGGAAUUUCAAAUUGCUGAAGAGUAUUUAUUAGAUGAUCCUUUGGACUUGUCUAAUAAGGAAAAUGCAAAAUUAAAUGUUUCUCUUUGGAUUUAAUGAAAAUUUCAUGCACAUGUCCCUACAUGAACAAACAACUUUUUCAAUAGAGGGUUGUACAAAAUUGAACCACAGUUUAACCUUCUGUAGUCAUUAUGCCAAUGGUGUUUUACUUGGUCAUUCUCUUUCCUGGUCUUAGGAUUUAUUUGUCUACAUUCUGUUUUAAUAAAAAUACCAGCUGAUAAUGAUGGAAUAUAUGACUCUUCAUAAUGUAACUGUUUUUUAAAGUCAUCUUGUUAAUCCUUACACCGCCCUGUAGAGAAGGGAAGACAUGGAGAGGAAGGAGUCCACUCACUGAACUGACUGAAGCUAAAAUUUUUAGUUUUUAUGUUAGCCUGUUUGUUGUUCCAGUACUUCAUCACAAUAUUUUUUGUUGCUUAAAUACUACAAUUAAAAAUAAGGUCUAUAAAAGCUAAAUCUCUCUCAUCUGUUACCAUGAUACCUUCGUUAUAUACCUAAAUAACAUAAUAUGCCAUUGUCAUGUUUCUGAGAAGGGCUACUGCUCUGCUAAGAAUAUCCUCAAAUCUUGUGUUAUCUACGGAAAUAUAAAGCAUACAUAGUAUGUGGACAGAGCUAAGCCUCGAAAUGAGGGAUUGCAACUCUCUUACUGUUCUCCCUAGUUUAGCAUGUAUAUCAGCGUGAUUAAGAGUGUAGACUUAAGAGCUAUGUGACCUUGGGAAAGCUGUUUAAUUCUCAGUGCCUCAAUUUUUUAAUCUGUAAAGGAAUGGGAGGAGAAUGCUAGUCAGAAGUUAAUUUUUACCAUAAAAUUUGUGUGAGGAAUAAAUAAUCUAAUGUAAAAUAUUUAAACCAGUAUCUGACGUAUAGUAAACACUCAAUAAACACUUGCUGCUGUUUUCAUCAUCACAAAUAUCAUCCUUCUCAUCAUCACUUACUCCUGUGCUAUAGGAUCAUGGUUUAUAUGUUAGGAAAAGACCUACAUCCAUAGACAAGACACACACACACACACACACACACACACACACACACACGCACCCCACAUACACAUACACCUAGGAAUGCUUGCUUGGCUCACUUGUAGGCUGAAGCUUUACCUAUAUGUUAAUGUCAUCACCCUAAUCAGAGAACAAGGAGUCCAUCCUUUGGAUAAAAUGUGCUUGGUACUGAAUUUAGCCUGAACACAGUUUCAAGCCCUUGAUACAAAAUCAGUCCAUUGCUGGGCCUCAGUCCUAUUACCCUGCCCACACUGGUUGCUCUCAUUUAAUUGCUUGAGCCCUUCAUGCUUAUUUUCUUUCAAAACUACAAAUUCUGUUAAGCAUGGUCUAAUCCAGGUCUAUUGAUCCAUUCACCAUUAUAUUUCCAGUCCAAUAAAUAAAUAUAGGAAAAUGAAUGAAUGAAUGAAUGCCUCUUUCAUUUCCAGCCUUCUGCCUUAAUCCGUAGUCCUGGAUGCCUGAUGUGCUAAAUGCUGACCUUAUUUUCUACCUAAGCCAAUCUAUUCACUAUUUUCAGUUAUUCCCAGUCUUCUGGUCCAAACUUUCGUAAUUACUUUGGUUUUCUUGCCGGAUUCCAAACACUCAAAAGCAAUAUGCAGUCAAUAUACCAACCCUGCCCACUGCUUCUUCUAUUCCUUCAGGAAACCAUGAAUACCACUCUUAUGCCUCUUACUGUGUUUUGCUUAUGUUCCCUUUCCUUUGGAAUAUGAAUUUUAGUCUUAUAAAUGAUUCAUUAUCCAUCUGCAUUUUAAUCUGAUGCCCUUGGUUCGAACCUUGAUUCUGAUCAUGUUAUCCUUCUCUCAAGGAUGAUACAGUUUUUAUAGUUUCAUUGCUGAGAUUAGUAAUUAGAUACUAAAAUCAACUGGAUAGAAAUUAUUAGCCUAAUAUUUUGCAUCCAAAAAGCAAUAAAGGAUGGUAGUGAAUGUUCAGAAAUCUGCAUCAUGGUAGCCUACAAUAUAAAAGUAUAUGGAAGACUUCAAGAUAGAGGAAGAACUUUAGCUGCAAAUCUAAAAGCUUGACAUUGAAGGAUGAAGAAAUAAAAGGACUUUAGAAGAGAAGCGAAGUUGGUAGCCAUUAGUGUGAUUUGGAAAAAAAUAGGGAAUCAGGGAGAACAGAGAAAAAUUUCAACCAGUUGGAAUGAAGUACGUAGAGGAAGUAGUGAAAUUAGAAAUGAAAUCUACAUUGCUGGCUAUUAGGAUAUGAACUUGCAAAGUCAGGUGGACUCCAGCAUUUACCCUUUGUGAGUGAUGAGAACAAAGACUGCCAUAUAGUUACAAUGCAAUAAUCAUUUGCUAAAUAAUUGAAACAUUUUACAGAGGCAAGCAAAAAUAAUGAAAGCAGUGUUUUAGGAGUUAACCUGACUACAGUGUACAGAGCACAUUGAGAGGUUUGAGACCACUUAAAGAUGCUGCCUGAGAAGCAGCUCUAGUAACUUAGAUACAAAAUAAUAGAAAAAUCUAAUAAAUCAUGACUAAGAAAAUAGUGAUAUUUCAGAAAAUAUUAACAGCACUUUCCUAUGUUUCUUCCCUACCAGCCCUAAUCCUAGUCCUGCCUAACUGUAAUUUUAACUGUAAAAUACUUUCUAAAUGCCUGGGUUUCUUUGCCUUUAGAUGUGAUUUUAGUGAAGUCUAUUACCCCUCAUGGGGCAGGGCUACGUUGAACACUGAGCUCUCAGGCUCACUCCAAUCUCUAACCAGAGUGAAUUGUAUCGUUUUAUGUUCAUAAACAACUCUCAGAGUUUGACAGCUUUGAGCAUAAACUCAGAGGACUCAUGGACUUUUCUAGGUUUCUGUUUAUGAGUGCCUGAUAUGCAAGACUCUACCAGAGAUUUUGCACACCAUAGAGUGCUGCACUGCACAGGGGGAUUCUGGAGGAGCAUUCAUUCCAGGUUCUUAAAUAUACUGUCGGUGUAGUUAAGAUGCCAUUCAACUAGAUCAGCACCAAAAGGAAACUACAGGAGAGAGCAUAUUCCAGCAGAGAUUUUAAGACCAUACCAAGCUCUGUCAUAACUCUGAGACAUUCCUCAAAAUCUCAAUAGUACCUUGGGACUUCCUGAGAAAUAGUGCUCAUUAAAUUGCUUUUACUAUAUGCCUAGUUCGCCCAUCUUUACCUUCAUGCAUCCAGUUUCCUUCUUGGAUAGUUCUGACACUUUUGGAAGACUAAGAAUUCAACCAGUAUAUGACUUCUUUAUUCUGUAUGACUUCUAUUGAUCAAAAGUUACAUGUACACUUUUCCUUGUUCCUCUCUUAAGGCAAGUAACCUAUUUUUUGGUUGAGUGAGUGCCUUCCACUGUGUCUUUCUAGGCGGGACUCUGACUUAGUUCUCUUUACCUUCUGGGAUCAACAAAUAUAUCCCACAAUAGAUCACAGUGUAUAUCUGUAGACUCUUCUGACUUCAUGGAUUUUAAACAUGAGCAGACCACUAUGACUUUUGCAUCCUACAUUCUGGUUUUUUUUGUUUAUUUGUUUGUUUGUUUUUAGUACCAGGGAUCGAACUCAUGACCUUGUACUUGAGAGGCAGGCAUGGUGCCACUGAGCUAAAUCCCUGGCCCUACAUUCUGUUUUUAUAAUGUGGAAGGUGCCUGCUAAAUGCCAAACUCUGCUACUUCCCCAGCUAGUCAGUCUCAGACCUAAUUUUGCCCAUCAGUUGGGAUAGAGAAUGUGAAAUUGCCACCUUUGCUUGUCAAACCUGUACGUUUGCACAGUGCAGAGUAGCACCACUUACAGGAAGAGUAUUUGGAAAAUUAAGCAGGGAUUGUGUGAACAGGAGACCUAUCAUCAUACACUGGAAUGACAGGAUUCUGCCCACAAACUGGGGUUAAGACCUACAUAUUGAUGGUCCUUUUCACCCAUUUGUGAGUAAUGGGUCUCACCCCAUUAGCGGGUGCAUGUGUUACACAGUAGAAGCUGUUAUGCAUUCUCUGUAGGUCUGUGUGAGGGAACUGUAGAUACACAUAAAUGUGUACUUGUUGACAUAUCUACAUAUUUAUCUGCCUGUUCGUAGGAGCAGACAGGGCAUGGCUCUUUGACAGGCAAGAACUAAAGGUCGAUGCUACACUCUUGCUGCUGCAGCCUCUGCUGCUCCUGCUGCUGCUGCCGCCAUGGCUGUGGUCGCUGUGGCUUUAUCAUUUGACUCCUGGAGGAGGCUGGCGCAGCUUCUUACUUGUUCCCACCUAUCCUGGAAGACUGGUGCUGGCCUCUGAUAUAAUUAAAGACACCUGUAAAAUGUUGACUCCUAAUGUUCUUAUGGCCAACAGAGAUGGACUGUCCAAAGUAUGCUCACCUACCCUAAUCUAUAAUCUAUAUUCUUUCAUUUGUUUCUCAAGAGUCCACAUAUCUUUGCUAUCUCCAGACACUGUUUGUUAUGCUGUUUUGAUGCUGCCCUAUAAAUGUAUUUCCUGCUGCAGGAUGCACCCUUCACUGUGUCUUAGCCUCUGCCCCACUCAGGAGACAAAUUCUUUCCCAGUAGGAAAAAUUAUUACGCUUCAAGCUUCUAAGGAAAAUAGUCAACUAAACAAAAUGCUUAUUUUAGCAGCACUCAUCCCCCUACAGCUAUACACAUCACUGACCUUCAUAAUCUCACUCUAUAGUAUUCCUUAUGAGGAAAAGGAUUUUUUUCCCCAGAUUUUAAGAUUAUUUUGAUAGUAAACUGAAUUUAAGGUUACAUUGUAUAUAGUGGACCAAGACAGGGAAACAGACUUGUGUUUUGAAUGUAGGCCCAAUUGCCAGUUUAAUUUGAUAAUAGAAAUUAAUUGUGCAAUCCUGAAUGUAACUACAAUACACCCACAAUUAACAGGUUUUUUUAUAGUCAUUGUCCUUCCCUCUCCUGCUUAAGAGGACAUAGACCAUUUUUCCCAAAAAUUCAAUUUUUCUCAAGACUGUGGAAUUAUUUCAAAAGAAGUAACAGGAAUAUUUUUGUUUCUUCGUUAGUUGGUUUGAUAUCUAUUUAAUAGACGGAUAAAUAAAGGUACCCAGAAGUGAGUUCAUCUUAGUGUUUCUGACAGUGUCUUUCUAAAACAUAAGUGUAAAAAGGCAGAAGAGCUUUUUCUCAGACUGAAUUGGUGAAGAAACAGACUAACUUAAUCAGAGAUGAGAUGAUUUUAAAGGGCUUAUUUCUGUGUUACAAAAAGGUAUGAUGCAGAUGUUUCACUAAGAAGGACAAAUACUAGGCUCAAAUGCAGAGAUCCUUUUUCCUGCUUAUUUUUGUCUAGGUUGCUUUGUUGUUGUUGUUGUUGUUGUUGUUGUUGUUGUUAAUAUUAAUAUCCUUGGGAUGAAAAAAGGCAGACUGAUUUUUCUAAAGUCACUUCCAACAGGAGAGAAAUUAGUAAUCUAAUCAACCGUACUGACAAACAAUGAAAUAAAAGUGGAAAAGGAAACUCUGGGCAGUUGAAGGCAGUUGACCAAGCAAUGAAUAUAAAGUUAUUUUAAAGGAACAUAUAAAUUUAUGGUUUGCUAUGAAAGUCUGCACCUGCUUAAGAGAAACAACAGAAACAUCAAAAUGGGUGAUUCAUUAGAAAUGAAAAAUGUUUCAACUUGAUGUGGCCAUGGUUUAUCUAGCACAGUGUUUCCCAAACAUCCAUAAUCCUAAGAAUCAUCAAGGUCACCUGAGAAAUACGCACAUUCCUAGUGUAACCCAGACCUAGAUAAUAGAAACUUCCAUGGAGGGAACUUGGCAUUUGGAUAUGAAAUCUAGUAGAAUAUUAUGAUUAGAGAAGUUUGGAAAAUAACUGCUCCAGGAGAUCUUUUUCAUAAUACAUAAACAGGGUAUAGGAUGUAUUACUUUAUUCCAUAUAAAAGUUAUCCUUCUGAAACAAUUCUCUCUCUUCUCUUCCCAGGAAUUAGAGGCAUUUCAAGUGAAACAAGAUUAUUUUUCUAGACCAGAAUUAUUUUUGCUUUUUAAAAAUGUCAUCUCUCUCCUUACUGCUCUAUCGUGGUGAGCUUAAGACUUUGUAUUUCCUUCCCUCUCACUUGUUACCCCUAUCUAAUGAAUGGUCAUCAUUUUAAAUAAAAGGCUCCAGAUAAGAAAUUUGGAGCUUAAGUUCUAGGUCUGGCUGGAACUCAGAGCUGUGUGUUCUUAUACGUUUAUGUACCUUUCAUCACUUUCAUUUUUACAUUUGAACAAUGCUCUUUGUAAAUCACACCAGCUGUACAUUGUUACAGAUAUUAAAUAUUUCCCACAAUCUUAUUGGCAAACCAUAAGAAUAUAUGAUGAGUUUUUGCUUGAUGGGCUAUAUAUUCAGGCUUACAUAUGCCCACAAGUACUCCUGUUAUUUACAGACUGUUCCCUAUUUCUAAAAUCAACUUGAGUCACAAUUUAAUCGAAGAUAACUCUUCAGAAAAUUCAUUUCCUAUAUCAUAUUGUCAGAAGUGUCUUUCGGGGCAGUUAUUCACAGGAGUUUGUCAUAUUGGAUAUGACAAGAAAAAGUUUAUUAUAAUGGAGACCAAUUUUUUAAGAGGAGGAGAAUGUAUGAAUGAACAAACAAGCUUGUGCCUAUUUUAGGUACUAACACUUUCAAGUCCAUGGAAGCAUGGAAGAGUAUAUUCUUCAGCUAAAUAUUGGAGAAGUUGCAGUGAAAAUAUUUUUUAAUACACAAAAAUGGUCAUGGCUGUGGCAUAACCAUUAACCCAAUGGUAAUUAUUAGUAACCAUUGGGCUGGGGUUCUAUAGAUAGAUAGAUAGAUAGAUAGAUAGAUAGAUAGAUAGAUAGAUAGAACUGCUUCAGAAGUUCAAAGAUGAAGAUAGAGAAGUAUAGUGGAGGAGUUUACAUUUCCUAAACUCCCUUGUCAGCUCAGCAUGUCUUCAGUGUAAAUACACAUGUGACAGUGGCCUAUACACUCAUUCACACUUCAGGGAACCCUGUGGUUUCCUUUACUCCCUCCAUUUUAGCAGUGGGCAGCCUGUAACCUUUUGAUCAAGCUGACUUUGUAUGCUACAUGACUGAACUCAGCUAUGCCAAACAUCCUUGAGGAAGUUGACAUUUGUGUACUUUGAAAGAAAAAAAAAAGGAAAGUGAAUCCCAACUGCUUCCUCCUGCCCUUUUGAUUAAGAGAAUGGUAAGUCAGCAGGAGAGGUGCUGCUUUUAACAAGCAGGGGUGUGCAGCAGCUGAUUGGUAUCUUUCUUUGAAAAAAAGUAGAAAAGAUUGAUGUUAAACAACACUAAUCAGAGUUGAUUACAGUUACUGAAUGAAUUCAUUGAUGGGAAAGAGCCAUGGUUCCAUAGACAACAAAAGAGAUUAGAUAAUAGUCAGGGGAAUAGUAUUUGGAAUAGUUCUGCUCAUGUCUGACAACCAGGAAUCAGUGGCCCUAGCUUCUUAAUCAUCCCUUGAAAUAGGCAUGUGUGUACAAUAAGUGCAGUUUUCUGCUGGUGACAUUCUUCUCACUGAACUCUGCCUGGUGGGCUUUUUUCUCUGCAUUCAGGCCUUAUCCUUCCCUGAUCACCUCAUCUGACUUGGUACUUCCAUCACAUUCUGAGGGGGUCCAAAACCUCACCUCUUGUCCUUCCCAGACAUUACCCUGGGUUAUAUCUGGAACCAUCUGUAGUUGCUUGACUGGUCUGUACUGAAUUUUUUUAAUUUUCUGCUAUUACCUCUACCUCUCUUUUAUCUCUUUUUAUCCUCUUUAAUCUUUCUCUGGUCAACUUCUUCCAUUUCUCAAGUUUCAGCUAAAGUACUAUAUCCUCAAACUUGUUAUUGAGCUUUCUCAUUAAAAAUCAGGUUUGCACACCUUUCUUCUCCCACAGCUAUUAUGCUGAACUCAAUUACAAUGGCUUAUUACUCUUCAGUAUAGUUAGUUGGAUAUUUACUUUCCCAUCUCUCCACUAGACUGAAGUAUUUGAGGGCAGAAACUUUUAUCUCUGUGUAUCUAAUGUUAGCAAACUAUGCAGAACAUUUUGGAUGUUUAAUAUAAAUGAACAAAUGAAUGGAUACUCCCCACAUACCUGCAAUAAUUUUUCAAAGUCAUUACCUGAAGUAAAGAAAUGGAACCUACAGGAAAAAAUUCUUGCACAGAACCGUAACUCACUGGUUACCUGUUCACUAAGACACUCAAAAGACAAAGUAAAUAAGAAAUCAAAUUUAGGAGCUUUCUUUUGUGUGACUUUUAGGUUGUUCCAGUCAGCACUGACUAUAAAAUGAGGAAGUUUUGGGGGAAAUAGCUUACUAGACUGAUGUUACAGUUUUUGACCAGUAAAUGAAUGUGUGGUUUAUUUUACAAAAUGGACUGCUGCUAUAUUAUGAUCAGUAUUAGCCUAGUGUCAUAUUCUGCCUCAUGUUAAUAAUCGUAAAAAUACUGAAUAUAUCACUGAAUAUAUCAUAAAUAUUUUCUAAUUAAUUAAGCCAUUAUACUCAUUAUUUUUAAUAAUCUCAUACAUUUAAAGUCCUCAAGAAAUGUUUUCUUCUUAUGUAACAACAAGUGGACAUCUAGGUCUUCUCCAUUCAACAUCUGAAAAGUAGAAAAUAGAGGAAAUCACCCUAGGCUUUUCAAGAGGAUUCAUUCCAAGUACAGUAGUUCACAGUUGCAACAAUUUUAUGUCGUUUUAUAUUUUACUCUUAAUUCUACUUGAUUUAGAAAGGAAUAAAUAGCUGCUUUAUAACCUCAUAAGGAUGGUACAAAGCUAGAGAAGGAGGACCCUGAUGCAUUAGAUCUAAGGAUGUCAAAUACCAUUUUACCACAUUUGCCCUAACGGUAGUUCCCCCAAUGGCUAAAAGUCAGAGGAACUUAAUGGGAUUCAGGAACCAUUUCAUUAUUGCAAUGGCACUUUCAUUUCACUUUUUAUGAGAUUGUUCUUGCUUAGUUCUUAAAUACAUUUCCAGUGUUCAGAAAUAAAAACCGUAUUUUAAAAAGUCUUAGCUCUUUAAGGGAGCCAGGGAUUUAGCUCAGUGGUUCUGCCGCCUGCCUCACAAGCGCAAGAUCCUGAAUUUGAUCCCCAGUACCACCGCCCCCCAAAAAAGUCUUAGCACUUUCUCCACAGCCAUCUUUGUCCUCUUUUAUUCCCACUGGUAGCCAAUAUUAUUAAUUAAUUGCUAUAUACCCUUCCAGUGGUCUUAAAAUGUAGAGAAGCAAAUAUAUAUUUUCCCUCACCUCUUCACAUAAGAGUUAGUCCAAGUUUUAUAAACUUUUCUAAAUCUUGCAUUCUUUGAUAUAAUUUCAAUGCAUUUCUCAAUUUUGCAUUCUCCAGUAUUUCUUAAAGAUACUUCUAUAUCAAUUAAUCUUUUUUUAGUUAUACAGUAUUCUAUUAUAUAAAUACACCCAGGCCUAUUCUACUAAUCCCUACUAUUAAACAAUUCUUGUCACUUCAAAUAAUACCCUGGCAAACAACCUUGUACAUAGAUAAUUUCACAAAUAUGCAAGUUCAUCUUCAGGAGUAAUUCUCAAAAGUAAAAAUACUCAUCAAAGGGAUACAUGCUUCUUGACUUUUGAGAAAUUGAUCUUAACAGGUUGGAUUAUUUAGCAGCACCCUAAGUAAUAUGUGAAAGUAUCAUUUUAUCCUAGCCUAAGCAAACUAAUAUUUUCUUCAGACUUUUGAAAUUUUUAAGAAUUAUGCCACUAAAAGAUAGCAUCAUGGUACAGUUUUAAUUUGCUUUUUUCUUAUUAUUAGUGAUGCUAAGCAUCUUUUGGUAUGUUUAAUGGUAUUA